CGGACCGGCGCACGGGUGAGUAACGCGUAUGCAACUUACCUAUCAGGAGGGGAUAACCCGGCGAAAGUCGGACUAAUACCGCAUAAAGCAGGGAUCCCGCAUGGGAAUAUUUGCUAAAGAUUCAUCGCUGAUAGAUAGGCAUGCGUUCCAUUAGGCAGUUGGCGGGGUAACGGCCCACCAAACCGACGAUGGAUAGGGGUUCUGAGAGGAAGGUCCCCCACAUUGGUACUGAGACGCGGACCAA
rnacentral:rRNA from 1 species